rnacentral:rRNA from 1 species
CGUGUAGGCGGUCGGCCAAGUCUGAUGUGAAAGCCCGGGGCUUAGCUCCGGAAGUGCGUCGGAAACUAGCCGGCUGGAGCGCGAUAGAGGAGGGUGGAAUUCCUGGUGUAGCGGUGAAAUGCGUAGAUAUCAGGAGGAACACCGGCGGCGAAGGCGGCCCUCUGGAUCGUCGCUGACGCUGAGACGCGAAAGCGUGGGGAGCAAACAGGAUUAGAUACCCUGGUAGUCCACGCUGUAAACUAUGGGUACUAGGUGUUCGGGUAUUGACCCCUGAGUGCCGCAGCUAACGCAUUAAGUACCCCGCCUGGGGACUACGGCCGCAAGGUUAAA